rnacentral:misc_RNA from 1 species
UUCAAACAAAAAAACAAAUAUUCAAUUCUUUCCUUCGGGACGAAGAGAACUUUCUAACAAACACAAACUAGGAAGGUCCGUGGAUCUCCCCGAACGACUUCAUCAACGGGUCGAUCAUGUGGUUCGCAAUUCUCGGUGGACUGAUCGUCUAUGGCCUGUUCAAGCUUUUCUUCGCCGGCGACGACGAUGUUAUGGAGGUUGAGACCUCCGAUUUUAAUGCUAUUUUCUCCGUCGCGAGUAGGUUCGAAAAACUUUAUGGUGGAAAGGCUUACGUUGGGCUUCGGAUUCCUGAUGCUGACACCGGUUCUCGGCAGAAUAUUGAUCUCGUAGUGGUCACCAAAGAGGAGUUAUUGUUGAUAUCUGUUAAGAACUUAUCUGGAUUUGUCUCUAUCAAUUCGG